GUCGGGUAUCUAGUUUUUAUACAUAUCUGUGACACAGACAGAGAUUAUAUUAUUAUCUUGGUCCGUGUCCGUAAUAUUAUUAUAAUAUUAUAUCGUGUUAUUAAUAUUUUAGUCGUUGAAUUUUGAUUAAAAAUUAAUUCAACUUCGACGUUUAUGCUGGUUCAUUGGAGUACUGGACUUUGGAAACCUUUAAGACAUUCUGUACAUUGUGCUUUCAGUUGUGACGCAGACUGUUGCUCGGUGGAACGUAUCGUCGUUGUCGUUCAGGGCAGCGGAUUUUGACCGGUGCGUCGCGAUAGAAUUUAUGUGACCUCGACUUUACGGACCCCGUCAAGUCAAUACAAUUUUAUUUUUCUGGAAGUGCCAACAAAGAAAUCAUGUUCCGGAAGGCACAGUUUAUAAACCAACACUUUGGCAAUGUAAAUAACAACGUGACAGAACCUGCCUAUGAUCCAGUAAUCAAACCACCUCAGAAACCUCUAAUCCAGAGCAAUUCCUAGAUCCGAGGACUAUCAACCGUCUAUAAUGAUGGAUAAGGAUUUGUCCAUUACCAGCAUUAGUAUUUGAAAUGUGAGAAUCGUCUUUAUGGUUGUCCAGUAUCAGAAAAAAUUUCAACAAUUGAUGGAGGGUCGCCAAUACUAAUUUCUGCAACAUAAUAUAUUCAUAGCCAUGAACCUGUACCUAACUAUUCAGUGGCAUUGUGAGGUUUCAUGAAUAGACAGAGGGAAAUAGGUAAUGUGGAGAAUAUUGUUCCACAUAACAUAUUUGAGUAGGAGAUGCAUCUGUAAGCUGCUUAACAAAAAAAUAGCGAUAGAAGUGGGCCGUCCAAUAGAAAUGGGGCGUGAAUGUUGCGUUACGUGAAUAUUAUUAUCAAACGUGGGGUGACUUCUGACAACACUUCAACUAUGCCCAGAUCAAGAGCGUCCGCAGGAGUUUGUUAAAGGGAAGGCAAAAUAUUCUCCUUUUUACAUUUUUUGUCUUACUAUCCUAUAAGUUAUAAAGUAUUUUUGUGACA